AUGAUGAUCUCAUUAUUAACUAUUCUCGCAAAACCGCUCCACAGAACCGCUGUUAACCAUUGGUCGUUGAGGAGGCGUAUUCUCAAAGGACCCAUAUCUACUGCUGUGUUAAUGGGGGCGUGGUUUGGUAAUACGCCAAUUUGGCCACUAUUAGUGGAUAAAAUGAUUUCUUUCACCUCACAAUCCCAAAUAAUUCGCUUAGGAGUCAGUACAUAA
rnacentral:rRNA from 1 species